CCCUUAGAUGUUCUGGGCCGCACGCGCGCUACACUGACGAAUGCAACGAGCUUAUAACCUUGGCCGAAAGGACUGGGUAAUCUCCAAAUUUCGUCGUGAUGGGGAUAGAUUAUUGCAAUUAUUAAUCUUCAACGAGGAAUGCCUAGUAAGCGCAAGUCAUCAGCUUGCGUUGAUUACGUCCCUGCCCUUUGUACACACCGCCCGUCGCUCCUACCGAUUGAAUGGUCCGGUGAAGCGUUCGGACCGUGGCCUUUGGACGGUUCGCCGUCUGUUGGCUGCGGGAAGUUCGUUAAACCUUAUCAUUUAGAGGAAGGAGAAGUCGUANCA
rnacentral:rRNA from 1 species